ACGAGCAGUGGGGCUCCAGGGCGCAUCCCAAUCCCCGCAGCGCCUCCUCCGCCGCCGCCGCCUCCUCCUCCUUCCCCUCCUCCUGGCUUCAUUCACCCUCCCAGCAGCCGCGCAGCCGUUCACUCCCGGCUCAGGGCAGCGCCUGCCGCGGCUCCUCGGCUCCUGCCGCGGGUGCUGGCGGGGGCGCCGGCCCGGACUGGGGCGCUCGCGGGCUCCCGGCUCCGGGCGGCGGCUGCCGCUGCACAUGAUCAGGAAGCGGCCGCAGCAACAGGGCGGCGGUGGCGGCGGCCAGGGCCGCCACCGCCACUCCAGCCGCUCUCCAGGCACCCGCACACCCGCUACCCCUGCGCGGUCCCCGAGGCCACCCCUCCGCGCCCCCCGCCUGGCACCCGGCCGCGCGCAAAGUCCCGGGCAGGCUGCAGGAGCAGUCCCUUCCCCGCCCGCAGCCGCACACCCGGCGACGCCGGACCUCCGAGAGGAGACCCCUACCCCGGGGCGCCGAGGCCAGGCGACCACCCGCGUGGAAGUCCAGCCCUCCCCGAGACCCCCUCUCUCUCACCGCCCUCUCCGGGGAGGAGGAAUGGGAAGAGGGCGGCCGGGAAAGGGACCACCCCCCCACCCCGGCCGCCGCCACCUCCCCCCUGCGCCACCCGGAGGGAGGACAUAGCUCUCCGCACUCGCGACCGGACCAGCAGCCGGGGGAACGGGGCCCCGCCGCCGCUCUCCCCGCCCGCGCCCCCGACCGGGCGCGCCCCUGGCGGGCGCCCACCCAGCCCUGACAGCCCCUCGCCGGCCGCCCCUGCGCCCACAGUGGGGGUGUCGGCCCGGGAGCCUGGAGCCGGGGACGGUUGUAUGUACACACACACACACACACACACACACACGCACACACAGAACACGACGCGUCGAUUUCCUUCGCUCCUCUUCCAGCUGUUUUCCGUGCAGCCGAUUGGGGUUUUGGGUUUGUUUGCUGGUUGUUGCUUUUGCCCCUCUCGGGAGAUCGGGUCCGGAAAUCGGCUUUGA
rnacentral:lncRNA from 1 species